rnacentral:lncRNA from 1 species
UGCACUUUUGACGUCCAUCUGAUAAACCUUGAAUCCUUUGAAAGACGCAUAGGCUAGAAAGAUUCGAAUUGCUUCGAGACGUGCAACAGGUGCAUACACUUCGUUGUAGUCGAUCCCUUCUAUCUGACGAAAACCUUGAACGACUAAACGAGCUUUGUUCCGAAUAACCACUCCACGGUCGUCUUUCUUGCAUUUGAAGACCCAUCGAGUGCCAAUCUUCUUGUAGUUCUCAGACAAAAAUUGUCUGUAGUCUGAUUUCAGCUGAUUUUAUGUCUGCAACUGAAGAUGUGGUCUGAAGUUCUCAGGCUUUUCAACAAGCUUCCAAACACCAAGCUUGUGAAAUUGCUGUAAUUCUUCCUGC